UACGUAGGGACCAAGCGUUGUUCGGAAUUACUGGGCGUAAAGGGCUCGUAGGUGGCCAACUAAGUCAGACGUGAAAUCCCUCAGCUUAACUGGGGAACUGCGUCUGAUACUGGAUGGCUUGAGUUUGGGAGAGGGAUGCGGAAUUCCAGGUGUAGCGGUGAAAUGCGUAGAUAUCUGGAGGAACACCGGUGGCGAAGGCGGCAUCCUGGACCAACACUGACACUGAGGAGCGAAAGCCAGGGGAGCAAACGGG
rnacentral:rRNA from 1 species